rnacentral:rRNA from 1 species
AGUGAACGCUGGCGGUAGGCCUAACACAUGCAAGUCGAACGGCAGCACAGUAAGAGCUUGCUCUUACGGGUGGCGAGUGGCGGACGGGUGAGGAAUACAUCGGAAUCUACUUUUUCGUGGGGGAUAACGUAGGGAAACUUACGCUAAUACCGCAUACGACCUACGGGUGAAAGCAGGGGAUCUUCGGACCUUGCGCGAUUGAAUGAGCCGAUGUCGGAUUAGCUAGUUGGCGGGGUAAAGGCCAACCAAGGCGACGAUCCGUAGCUGGUCUGAGAGGAUGAUCAGCCACACUGGAACUGAGACACGGUCCAGACUCCUACGGGAGGCAGCAGUGGGGAAUAUUGGACAAUGGGCGCAAGCCUGAUCCAGCCACACCGCGUGGGUGAAGAAGGCCUUCGGGUUGUAAAGCCCUUUUGUUGGGAAAGAAAAGCAGCAGGUUAAUACCCCGCUGUUCUGACGGUACCCAAAGAAUAAGCACCGGCUAACUUCGU